rnacentral:rRNA from 1 species
CGGGUGCAGCAGGCGCGAAAACUUUACAAUGCUGGCAACAGCGAUAAGGGGACCUCGAGUGCCAGGAUACAAUCCUGGCUGUCGUAAUGCCUAAAAAGCAUUGCAUAGCAAGGGCCGGGCAAGACCGGUGCCAGCCGCCGCGGUAACACCGGCGGCUCGAGUGGUAACCGCUAUUAUUGGGUCUAAAGGGUCUGUAGCCGGCUGACUAAGUCUCUUGGGAAAUCUGGCAGCUCAACUGUCAGGCUUUCAGGAGAUACUGAUCGGCUCGAGACCGGGAGAGGUGAGAGGUACCUCAGGGGUAGGGGUGAAAUCUUGUAAUCCUUGAGGGACCACCAGUGGCGAAGGCGUCUCACCAGAACGGAUCUGACGGCAAGGGACGAAAGCUAGGGGCACGAACCGGAUUAGAUACCCGGGUAGUCCUAGCCGUAAACGAUACUCGCUAGGUGUCGGCCACGGUGCGACCGUGGUCGGUGCCGUAGGGAAGCCGUGAAGCGAGCCACCUGGGAAGUACGGCCGCAAGGCUGAAACUUAAAGGAAUGG